ACUCAAAUGAAUUGACGGGAGCCCGCACAAGCGGUGGAGCAUGUGGUUUAAUUCGACGACAAACGAGGAACCUUACCAGGUCUAGACAUGGUGCUGCAAGCUUCUGGAAACAGAAGCCGCCUUCGAGGGUGCACCACAGGUGCUGCAUGGCUGUCGUCAGCUCGUGGCGUGAGCUGUUGGGUUAAGUCCUCUAACGAGCGCAACCCCUGUCGAGUGUUAAAAAUUCGCUCGAGACUGCCGGCUAUAAGCCGGAGGAAGGAAGGGAUGACGUCAAGUCAGCAUGGUCCUCUGACGACCUGGGCCACACACGUGCUACAAUGGGGUGUAACAAUGGGUUGCCAAACCGCAAGGUGGAGCCAAUCCCACCAAACCACCCCUCAGUUCGGAUUGAAGGCUGCAACUCGCCUUCAUGAAGCUGGAAUCGCUAGUAAAUGCGCAUCAGCUAUGGCGCAUUGAAUACGUUCUCGGGCUUUGUACACACCGCCCGU
rnacentral:rRNA from 1 species